rnacentral:rRNA from 1 species
CUACGGAGGGUGCAAGCGUUACUCGGAAUCACUGGGCGUAAAGCGCAUGCAGGCGGUCUAAUAAGUUGGAAGUGAAAGCCUAUGGCUCAACCAUAGAACUGCUUCCAAAACUGUUAGACUAGAGUCUGGGAGGGGAAGAUGGAAUUAGUAGUGUAGGGGUAAAAUCCGUAGAGAUUACUAGGAAUACCAAAAGCGAAGGCGAUCUUCUGGAACAGUACUGACGCUGAGAUGCGAAGGCGUGGGGAGCAAACAGGAUUAGAUACCCUAGUAGUCC